rnacentral:rRNA from 1 species
UACGAAGGGGGCUAGCGUUGCUCGGAAUCACUGGGCGUAAAGCGCACGUAGGCGGCUUAUUAAGUCAGGGGUGAAAUCUUGGAGCUCAACUCCAGAACUGCCUUUGAUACUGAUGAGCUUGAGUCCGGGAGAGGUGAGUGGAACUGCGAGUGUAGAGGUGAAAUUCGUAGAUAUUCGCAAGAACACCAGUGGCGAAGGCGGCUCACUGGCCCGGUACUGACGCUGAGGUGCGAAAGCGUGGGGAGCAAACAGG